rnacentral:sRNA from 1 species
GCUUUUUGUCUUUAAUGUUUGAAUUUCUUUCGCUAAUGAUUUAAUUAAGACUAGAUCAUAACCCGUGCUAUACAGCACGGGCAUUAAUAUUUUGUAUAAAUUAAAUUGUAUAUUUUGUUUGAAUUACAUAAGAAUUAGUAUAGUAUAGUAUAAAAGUGAUGCCAUAAUAUUUUUCAAUGUUUUUACUAUUUGCAUAUAAUGCUGCAUUAGAUUGACUUUGUUUAAAAAUGUUAUUUUUAUAAUAAAUACAACAUAUGUAGUUUUAAGUAAAUGUGUAAAAUUUGUAUAGAGGUUGUUUUGGUAAGAAACAUGUUUCCUUUGUAUUAGAGGAUAUUUUUGGCCUAACUUAGAAUUAGUCUUUCUAUAGUAUUUUGGUUAUAUUUGUGGACCUAAUUGGGGCCUAUAUUAGAUUAUCUUUGAUAGAGCUGACAAAAAAACGGACCUGAUAACCAAUCCAAUACCCGAACCAAAAAACCGGGUUAGGGCGGUUAAAAUUUUAGGAAAUUUCCUUAUUGGGUAAAGUUUUAGUAAUCCAGUGGAUAUCCGAUUGGUCCGGAAAUUGCCCGUUACCCAAAAAGAGUAUUCAAAAACCCAAACAUUAAUUUAAUAUCUAAAAUAUUAAUUAUAUUUAAUCGUAAUAUUAUCUAAUUAUCUAAGAUUAUAAUUAUAAAUCUAAAUAUGUCAAUUAAUUUUGGACCUAAAUAUCCAAAACAACUAAACUAUUCAAAAAUUAUUUGUUAUGUUUGUCAAAAUUUAGUAAAAUAUAUUCAAAUAUAAUUACAUUUAUUAAAACUUAACAAAUUUAAAAGUUUUU